rnacentral:rRNA from 1 species
UACGUAGGGUGCAAGCGUUGUUCGGAAUUACUGGGCGUAAAGGGCGCGUAGGCGGCCUUCUAAGUCGAACGUGAAAUCCCCGGGCUCAACCCGGGAACUGCGUCCGAUACUGGAAGGCUUGAAUCCGGGAGAGGGAUGCGGAAUUCCAGGUGUAGCGGUGAAAUGCGUAGAUAUCUGGAGGAACACCUGUGGCGAAAGCGGCGCACUGGACCACAACUGACGCUGAGGCGCGAAAGCUAGGGGAGCAAACAGG